rnacentral:rRNA from 1 species
GAUGAACGCUGGCGGCGUGCCUAAUACAUGCAAGUCGAGCGAACAGACGAGGAGCUUGCUCCUCUGACGUUAGCGGCGACGGGUGAGUAACACGUGGAUAACCUACCUAUAAGACUGGGAUAACUUCGGGAAACCGGAGCUAAUACCGGAUAAUAUAUUGAACCGCAUGGUUCAAUAGUGAAAGACGGUUUUGCUGUCACUUAUAGAUGGAUCCGCGCCGCAUUAGCUAGUUGGUAAGGUAACGGCUUACCAAGGCAACGAUGCGUAGCCGACCUGAGAGGGUGAUCGGCCACACUGGAACUGAGACACGGUCCAGACUCCUACGGGAGGCAGCAGUAGGGAAUCUUCCGCAAUGGGCGAAAGCUUGACGGAGCAACGCCGCGUGAGUGAUGAAGGUCUUCGGAUCGUAAAACUCUGUUAUUAGGGAAGAACAAAUGUGUAAGUAACUAUGCACGUCUUGACGGUACCUAAUCAGAAAGCCACGGCUAACUACGUG